UGGGGAAUAUUGCACAAUGGGCGCAAGCCUGAUGCAGCCAUGCCGCGUGUGUGAAGAAGGCCUUCGGGUUGUAAAGCACUUUCAGCGAGGAGGAAGGUGGUGAGCUUAAUACGCUCAUCAAUUGACGUUACUCGCAGAAGAAGCACCGGCUAACUCCGUGCCAGCAGCCGCGGUAAUACGGAGGGUGCAAGCGUUAAUCGGAAUUACUGGGCGUAAAGCGCACGCAGGCGGUUUGUUAAGUCAGAUGUGAAAAUCCCCGGGCUCAACCUGGGAACUGCAUUUGAAACUGGCAAGCUAGAAGUCUCGUAGAGGGGGUAGAAUUCCAGGUGGUAGCGGUGAAAUGCGUAGAGAUCUGGAGGAAUACCGGUGGCGAAGGCGGCCCCCUGGACGAAGACUGACCGCUCAGGUGCGAAAGCGUGGGGAGCAAAACAGGAUUAGGAUAACCCUGGUAGUCCACGCUGUAAACGAUGUCGAUUUUGGAGGUUGUGCCCUUGAGGCGUGGCUUCCGGAGCUAACGCGUUAAAUCGACCGCCUGGGGAGUACGGCC
rnacentral:rRNA from 1 species